UACAGAGGUCUCAAGCGUUGUUCGGAUUCAUUGGGCGUAAAGGGUGCGCAGGCGGCGCGGUAAGUCGGGUGUGAAAUCUUGGAGCUUAACUCCGAAACUGCAUUUGAUACUGCCGUGCUUGAGGACUGGAGAGGAGAGCUGGAAUUACGGUGUAGCGGUGAAAUGCGUAGAUAUCGUAAGGAAGACCAGUGGCGAAGGCGGGUCUCUGGACAGUUCCUGACACUGAGACACGAAGGCCAGGGGAGCAAACGGG
rnacentral:rRNA from 1 species